GCUGGGCGUGGUGGCGCACGGCUGUAAUCUCAGCUACUCAGGAGGCUGAGGCAGGAGAAUCGCUUGAGCCUGGGAGGUGGAUGUUGCAGUGAGCCGAGAUCAUGCCACUGCACUCCAGCCUAGGUGACAGAGUGAGAUUCUGCCUCAA
rnacentral:SRP_RNA from 2 species